CUUGUAUUCGGUGGUUGGUGGUGCAUGGCCGUUCUUAGUUCGUGGAUUGAUUUGUCUGCUUUAUUGCGAUAACGAACGAGACCGCAACCUCUAGAUAGUUCUCUGAUAGCUUUGUCAGUUGAACUUCCUAGUGGGGAUAAGUGGCUCUAAGCCACACGACAAGCGGCAAUAACAGGUCUGUGAUGCCCUUCGAUGUCCGGGGCCGCACGCGCGCUACACUGGUAAGAUCAGCGCGUGUACCUUGACCGAAAGGUCUGGGUAAACUAUUGAAAACUUACCAUGAUUGGGAUCGGGCAUUGAAAUUAUUGCCCGUGAACGAGGAAUUCCCAGUAAACUUGAGUCAUCAGCUCAAAUUGAUUACGUCCCUGCCCUUUGUACACACCGCCCGUCGCUGCCCGGGACUGAGUUGCUUCGAGAAUUGCGGGGACCGACGCUGUGGGGUUUAACGACUCUACGGUAUUGGAAACCGCUGUAAUCGCAGUGGCUUGAACCGGGCAAAAGUCGUAACAAGGUAAGCGUACGUGU
rnacentral:rRNA from 1 species